ACGGUAGGCAGCACACAUAGCGCGAAUUUCUUUGUUUUUUACACCAAGUACGGUCGUCACUUGGAUUUUCCCAAAAAAAAUUUUUGAGUUAAAACAACCAUAAUUGUUUAUUGCGGCUUAAUUAAAAUGUUUAAUAUUCAAGAGUGCUUUGGAAACAAAAAACGGCUGUGAAUUGUUUAAUGUAGUACUAAUUAAAACGCGAAAAAUAAGCGACUAAUUAAAUAGCAUUUGACAACAAUUAUCAUCUUUUGUUUACAAGGCACUCUCUUAAUUAAAUAAAUAAGUAUAUAUUGUUUUAGUUAAAACAUAAUGGGACCCAUAGAUAGGGUUUAAUAAAGAAAAUUCAUUUUACGAUUCCAAUUUAACCCAUCAAGAUUUCCACGCGAGCUACGCAAAAAGGCGGCCACCCUGUAUACAUAAAAUUGUAUUCUCUUAUUUGCAAUGUGCUGUUCUUUGACAGUCAUUAAUUUUUACCAUGAUUUCAAUUUUUAGGUUUUUUCCAGAAAAACGCAAACAUGUUGGUACCUACCCAGUUGUAGAAAAUUGCCCCUUUUUUGAUCUAAUAUUGAGCCCGUGAUCAAAUUUGAGUUACUAAAAUAAGGUGGUGGUGGCGAAAUUUUAAUUGCUUGAAAGAAAAGUGUUGUCACGGACACAUCUUUUUUGAAUUUCAAUUAAUUGCUUAAUUUUAGGGUAUUAAAAAAGUGUCAAGACAGCGCUGACCAAAUUUUCAUGGUUUUUUGGGAAAAAAUUGAAUGUUUUCUAAAGCAGCCCCAGAAAUGCUUUUUUGAAUGUCAACGUGGGAACGUUUAAUGUUUAAUGCAACGAUUCUAACUUAAAACAAUUACAAUAAUUAAUUAUAGAGGUUGGAGCUGUUGGUAGGCAACACGCAUUACACACUACAGCUGGUUGUAGAAAAUUGUACUUUUUUCCAAUUUUAUUAUUUUCUAUUUUUGUUCUUUAUCUUUAAGUAGGCCAAUUUUCAUGUUUUUUAAUUAAAAAUGUUGCAUUUAUUAAUACGGAAAAUUGCAACUCUUAAGAUUUAGUCUGUUUGUAGGCAACACACAUGACACACUACACCUAGUGCUAGAAAAUGAAAUCUUUCUAUCAAAUAUUGGUUAUUGAUCAAAUUUGAGUUGUCAAAAAAGUGUUGAGGUAGUACCAAGUUUUCCAUGUUUUUUAAAAAAAAGGUGAAUUUCUUCUGAAGCAGUCUUUCUUUGAAUUUCGAAGCGAUCAACUUAAUUUUCGAUUUUUUGAUUCAGUAUUGAACACGUGAACCGGUUUAAAAAAAAGUUAAAAAUUAAAGCAAGCUCAGAUACGUCUUUUGUUUUAUUUCGAUUAAUCUCGUCGGCUUGAUUUCUUAAUAUGACUCCAAUGUAUUAUUAUUAUUUAUUAUUUUUGGUCUUUAUUUAGUGGGCGGGGUUUCAGCCUGGGUGGGGUUGCAGCACGUGAUCAAAUUUGGGUCGUUAAAUAAAGUGUUGAACAAAUUUUCAUGAUUUUUUGAUAAAAAAGUUGAACCGUGCCUGUUCAACACACGACACGCUACACCUGGUGGCAGAAAAUUGCAUUAUUAAGAUCAAUUUUAAAUUAUUACGAAGUGUCCAGGUGAUGCUGUCCAAAGUUCAAUGUUUUUUUUUAAUUAAAAAAAAUGGAAUGUUUUCUAAAGCAGCAUCAGAAACGUCUUUUUUGAAUUGCGAUGAAUGUAAUCAGUCUCUCUUCUUAAUACGGAAACGAGUACUUCAACGAUGUAAAAAAAAUUGCAAAUCUAAAAGAUCGAGUCUUGUUUGUAGGUAGGCUAUAAAAUUGCAUCUUUCUUGAAAGAAAAUAGGGCAAGUGAUCAAAUUUGAGUUAUCAAAAAAGUGCUUUUUAAGUAGUCUUCUGAAGUAGUCUCAAAAUCCGAUUAAUUUCUUAAUAAAUCAACUAUUUUAAAAAAAAAUGCAAGUUAAAAAGACCAAAGAACCAAGUCUGUUGUAGGCAACGCGCGUGACACUAGAUCUGAUGGUAGAAAACUGCACCUUUUUUAAUCCAAUAUUGAGCUCGUGACCAAAUUUGUGUUUUUUUUUUAAAAAAAAAAGUUGUUUUCCAACGCCGCCUCAAUGCGUCUUUUUGAAAUUUCAUUUCAUGUGCAUCUUAAUUUCUUAACACACACAACGACCCCAACUUGAACGAUUUCUUGUAAAAUUGCAAUCAAACCAAAUUUUCAUGUUUUUUUGAAAAAAGAAGUGUUGAGCGUCCUCUAAAGCAAACUCAGAAAAGCCUUUUUUGAAUUUCAAUUUAUGUGAUCAGCUUAAUUUCGGAAUAAUUUCGGAACAAUUUCGGAACAAUUUCUUUAAAAAUUGCAAUACAGUGGUAGAAAGUGGCAAUUUUGGGCACGUGAUUAAAUUUGAGUAACUAUAAAAACUGGUGACCAAAUUUUCACGUUUUUUUUAAAAAAAAAACCGCUCUAAAGCUGACUCAGAAACGUCUUUUUUUAAUUUCAAUUUAUGUGAUCAGCUUAAUUUCGGAAUAAGACGACUCUCACUUGAACAAUUUCUUCAAAAAUUGCAAUACAGGGUGGAAAGUGGCAAUUUUGGGCACGUGGUCAAAUUUGAGUUACUAAAAAAAGUGUUGAUGGGGGGGAUGACCAAUUCUUCACGUUUUUUUUUAAAAAAGCUGCUCUUAAGCAGACUCAGAAACGUCUUUUUUGAAUUUUAAUGUUUGUGAUCAUCUUAAUUGCGGAAUAAAACGACUCCCACUCGAAUAAUUUCUUUAAAAAUUGCAAUACAGCGGUAGAAAGUGUCAGGUUUGGGCACGUGAUCAAAUUUGAGUUACUAAAAAAGUGUUGAGGGGGGACUGACCAAAUUUUCACGUUUUUUUUUGAAAAAAACUUCUCUAAAGCAGACUCAGAAACGUCUUUUUUGAAUUUCAAUUUUUGUGAUCAUCUUAAUUGCGGAAUAAGACGGCUCCCACUUGAACAAUUUCUUUAAAAAUUGCAAUACAACGGUAGAAAGUGUCAAGUUUGGGCACGUGGUCAAAUUUGGGUUACUAAAAAAAGUGUUGGGGGGGGGGGGGCUGACCAAUUUUUCACGUUUUUUUUUAAAAAAGCUGCUCUUAAGCAGACUCAGAAACGUCUUUUUUGAAUUUUAAUGUUUGUGAUCAUCUUAAUUGCGGAAUAAAACGACUCCCACUCGAACAAUUUGUGGCAAUUUUGGGCACGUGAUCAAAUUUGAGUUACUAAAAAAAGUGUUGAGAGGGGGCUGACCGAAUUUUCACUUUUUUUUAAAAAAAAAACUGCUAAAGAGCAGACUCAGAAGCGUCUUUCUUGAAUUUCAAUUUUUGUGAUCAUCUUAAUUGCGGAAUAAGACGGCUCCCACUUGAACAAUUUCUUUAAAAUUGCAAUACAGGGUGGAAAGUGGCAAAUUUGAGUUACUAAAAAAGUGUUGAGGGGGGGCUGACCAAAUUUUCACUUUUUUUUUUUAAAACUGCUAUAGAUCACUCAGAAACGUAUUUUUUGAAUUUCAAUUUUUGUGAUCAUCUUAAUUGCGGAAUAAGACGGCUCCCACUUGAACAAUUUCUUUAAAAAUUGCAAUACAGCGGUAGAAAGUGUCAAGUUUGGGCACGUGGUCAAAUUUGGGUUACUAAAAAGUGUUGAGGGUGGAGGGGGGGGGGGCUGACCAAUUUUUCACGUUUUUUUUAAAAAAGCUGCUCUUAAGCAGACUCAGAAACGUCUUUUUUGAAUUUUAAUGUUUGUGAUCAUCUUAAUUGCGGAAUAAAACGACUCCCACUCGAA